rnacentral:rRNA from 1 species
CAAACUGAAGAUGGCGACCGGCGCACGGGUGAGUAACACGUAUCCAACCUGCCGAUAACUCUGGAAUAGCCUUUCGAAAGAAAGAUUAAUACCGGAUAGUAUACGAAUAUCGCAUGAUAUUUUUAUUAAAGAAUUUCGGUUAUCGAUGGGGAUGCGUUCCAUUAGUUUGUUGGCGGGGUAACGGCCCACCAAGACUACGAUGGAUAGGGGUUCUGAGAGGAAGGUCCCCCACAUUGGAACUGAGACACGGUCCAAACUCCUACGGAGGCAGCAUG